CGAACUCGUCAUGUGACUACCAGCGAGAAAAAGCGUUAUCACAAUAACGUCUGUGACUUUCUCCGUUACGAAGCACUAUCAAAAUGUUUUACAAGUUUAACAGUUUCAGUGGGCGGUUAAUGCCUGCUACUCAAACUGAGGCAUAUUCGCCACAGGGUCUCAAUCCAGCAGUGUGUGAGCCCUCACGAAUCAUAUUUGAUUCAAAGAAAACUCGGACAGCAAGCGAUAGUUCAACACCAGUUCGUUCUUCCACCAGUUCAAAAGCGUCUUCCACUGGUAAAUUACCUGCAGGAGGUGUUGUACCUACAAGUGCUCGGUAUAAACGGAUCCAGGAACUGCAGAACCAUUUCCUGAAGAAUGAUGGCAGACUGGUGUGGCAGAAAAUGGGUGUCAGGGAUGCUGUUCCUUAUUGGACUACAAUAGGGCUCUGCAUAGUGGGCACCCUGGUGACAGCAAAUCUCUUCUGCGACAUGAUUUUUCCUAAAAAAAAAUGAGUUAUUAUAAUAGGGCCUCCUGUUAGCACAAUAGUUAUUCAAAGGAGAAAGGUUCAAGGAGUUCUACCUUAGGUAGGAAAUUUUAAAAAGUACUAUCUUAAAUUAUUUUAGGUCUAUUUUCAAUUCUUUAAGAAAAUAGACCCAUUUCAGUUGAUAUUGUUACUUCACAUUUUGUGAUUAAAAGAUAUUUAGCAUCA